GUACAGCGGAACUGAGGAGUGGCUACGAUUGUAAAAUCAGAGGGAGGGUUACUUUCGACGCAGACUGCUGUGAUAUCUUUAGAUCUAGAACAGUUUGAACUUGUAGUCAGCCAAACAUCAACCACAAUAGUUUUGGCUAGAGGUGAUGCUGGGGGUGGCUGAAAUGACGGGCAGCAAUAUGGCGAACGCCCUGGCCAACGCGGCAUGCGAGCGCUGCAAGAGUGGCUUCGCCCCGGCCGAGAAGAUCGUCAACAGCAACGGAGAACUUUACCACGAGCAGUGCUUCGUCUGCGCCCAAUGCUUCCAGCAAUUUCCUGAAGGACUCUUCUAUGAGUUUGAAGGCAGGAAGUAUUGUGAGCAUGACUUUCAGAUGCUCUUCGCUCCCUGCUGCCACCAGUGUGGAGAGUUCAUUAUUGGCCGAGUGAUUAAAGCCAUGAACAACAGCUGGCAUCCAGACUGUUUCUGCUGUGACAUCUGCAAAGUAGUCCUGGCAGACGUUGGAUUCGUCAAGAACGCCGGCAGGCACCUGUGUCGCCCAUGCCAUAACCGGGAGAAGGCUCGCGGCCUGGGCAAGUACAUCUGCCAGAAGUGCCACGCCAUCAUCGAGGAGCACCCUUUGAUCUUCAAGAACGACCCCUACCACCCCGACCACUUCAACUGCAACAACUGUGGGAAGGAGCUGACUUCUGAUGCCAGGGAGCUGAAGGGCCAGCUCUACUGCCUGCCGUGCCACGACAAGAUGGGGGUGCCCAUCUGCGGAGCCUGCAGGAGGCCCAUAGAGGGCCGCGUGGUCAACGCAAUGGGCAAGCAGUGGCACGUGGAGCAUUUUGUGUGUGCUAAGUGUGAGAAGCCGUUCCUUGGCCAUCGCCACUAUGAGAGGAAAGGUCUGGCAUACUGCGAGACCCACUACAACCAGCUGUUUGGAGACGUGUGCUACCACUGCAACCGUGUGAUCGAAGGAGAUGUGGUCUCAGCCCUGAACAAGGCCUGGUGUGUCAACUGCUUCUCCUGCUCCACCUGCAACACCAAACUCACCCUCAAGGCUAAGUUUGUGGAGAUCGAUCUGAAGCCUGUGUGCAGGAUGUGCUACGAGCGCAUGCCAGAGGAACUGAAACGCCGCCUGGCCAGACGCGAGCGGGAUGCCAAAGACCGCCGAAAGAAACCCACCAUCUGUCUGUAGAAUUCCUCCUCUUCUUCCUCCUCAUCCUCACGUCACUCUCUCACUGCUUCUCUUCAUCCAUUGGAACAAGUUUGUGGAGUUUGACAUGAAGCCUGUUUGUAAGAAGUGUUACGAGAAGUUUCCUCUGGAGCUGAAGAAGAGAUUGAAAAAGCUUGCGGAGACUCUUGGACGCAAGUAGUGCCUGACUGUACCUCAGGGCUCCAAGGAAGGUUUAUCUAGGAAGCCAAGCUCCAAUCUUAACAAGUGCCCAAAAUAAGCCAAAUACUUAUUCUUUUUCAGUCUAACAUGGUAUUAAUGUAAUGUAUUCUGUCGAUUUACCAUGUGUAGAUUUUGGAUUGAGGAAACACCACUGCUUUUUUAGUAUUUUUUAUUUUUUUUUCUCUUUUCUGGGCUCAACAUAAUUCACUAUGUUAUCAAGUUUACACUGGCCAGAUCCAUGUCGGUUGCAAUGAUUUCUGUCUUUUAAAAGUCAGACGUGUCUUAAGUCAUUUGACCUGGUCACUUUACACGUUAUUUCAUACGUGAUCAUCGUAAAAAAGGAGAAAGUAAACAAUACAGACUUGAGUGACGUAAAAGUUUGUCUAAAUAGGCUAUGUUUCAUGAAAUGCUAACCUUUUACUUUUGUCUUGAAUAUACCUGAAUGUCCUCAGUAAUUUUCUUCUAUACUUUUUCUCUGUGCCUUGGAUAAAUAUAUAAAUGUUUGUAUGUAAUAUGCAAGUAAAAAAUAUACGUCUUUCAAUUAUACCAGUAAGUCCUUGUAUCUAAGAGUAACAAUAUAUGCCUUGAGAAAGAUAGAGAAAGGGCUGUGAAUCUUUAACUUUAUUCAGCUGAACUGCAGCCUCGCCAACUAGUAUGGUACAGCAAUACUUUCCUUUAGCAUAUUAUUUUGGAUCCUUGUUUUAAUCAAAUAAUUGCCUAGUGUGAUCUAUGGGAGUUUAAAGGAGAGUAUUUUACUUCAGACAACGCUGUGAUAUGCAAUCAUAUAAAGUUAGCUUACUAUGUGUGUCAUCUGUUUGUAUGAGAACAGCAAGUUUCACUAGCGAAUAGCAUUGCAUGUUUUUGAUAAUAGUAUUAUUUUUGCAAAGGCUCAUAAUAAAAGUAUCUUAAUUAAGGAUGAUU